rnacentral:rRNA from 1 species
GAUGAACGCUGGCGGCGUGCCUAAUACAUGCAAGUCGAGCGAACAGACGAGGAGCUUGCUCCUCUGACGUUAGCGGCGGACGGGUGAGUAACACGUGGAUAACCUACCUAUAAGACUGGGAUAACUUCGGGAAACCGGAGCUAAUACCGGAUAAUAUAUUGAACCGCAUGGUUCAAUAGUGAAAGACGGUUUUGCUGUCACUUAUAGAUGGAUCCGCGCCGCAUUAGCUAGUUGGUAAGGUAACGGCUUACCAAGGCAACGAUGCGUAGCCGACCUGAGAGAGUGAUCGGCCACACUGGAACGGAGACACGGUCCAGACUCCUACGGGAGGCAGCAGUAGGGAAUCUUACGCAAUGGGCGAAAGCCUGACGGAGCAACGCCGCGUGAGUGAUGAAGGUCUUCGGAUCGUAAAACUCUGUUAUUAGGGAAGAACAAAUGUGUAAGUAACUAUGCACGUCUUGACGGUACCUAAUCAGAAAGACACGGCUAACUACGUG